UAGAGAAAAAAGAUCUUGCUUACAACAAGAAAAUAAAAAAUCUCUUUUCCUUAA
rnacentral:tRNA from 1 species